AUUGAACGCUGGCGGCAGGCCUAACACAUGCAAGUCGAGCGGAUGAAGGGAGCUUGCUCCUGGAUUCAGCGGCGGACGGGUGAGUAAUGCCUAGGAAUCUGCCUGGUAGUGGGGGAUAACGUCCGGAAACGGGCGCUAAUACCGCAUACGUCCUGAGGGAGAAAGUGGGAGAUCUUCGGACCUCACGCUAUCAGAUGAGCCUAGGUCGGAUUAGCUAGUUGGUGGGGUAAAGGCCUACCAAGGCGACGAUCCGUAACUGGUCUGAGAGGAUGAUCAGUCACACUGGAACUGAGACACGGUCCAGACUCCUACGGGAGGCAGCAGUGGGGAAUAUUGGACAAUGGGCGAAAGCCUGAUCCAGCCAUGCCGCGUGUGUGAAGAAGGUCUUCGGAUUGUAAAGCACUUUAAGCUGGGAGGAAGGGCAGUAAGUUAAUACCUUGCUGUUUUGACGUUACCAACAGAAUAAGCACCGGCUAACUUCGUG
rnacentral:rRNA from 1 species